rnacentral:lncRNA from 1 species
CGGCGGGCAGCGGCGCUGCGGCAGGGUCCCGGCGGCCGUGCCCUACGAAGGGCCUGGGCCGGGCGCGCUGGGAAGCGGCGGGGCUGGAGCAGGCGGAGGGUGAGUGACGGCGGGGCGACGCUCAGCGCCGUCUUCAGUGGGAAGCGAAUCAGCCGUAGGUGGGAAAUUAGGGUCACAUCUCCGAUCUCCCGAGGUGAGCCAGAGCGCGGGGCUGGCGGCAGCACUUUGGGAGACUGAGGAAAAGCCUCCUGCGGUGGGAGGGAGGGCGAUACGCACUUAAGUCACAUCGCGGGGCUGUCACGAGGCCGCGGCAGGUCCCCGCGGUGAAGGCAUCAUCCGAGCUGUCGCUGUGUCGGGCCGAUGCCUCCGCGCAGCCUGACAGCCGUGUUGACGCUGCGCUUCAGCCUUAUUGUAGAGCAAAGCCUUUCGACGCGGGAUUUGGUCCCUAGCGCCGGUUUGCUGGUAUUGCUGACAUCCCAGCAAAACAUGUGCAGGAUGCUCACAGCACUGCGUUAUGGCAAGGGUUCAGCCGGCUCGAUGCUUGAAGCUGCUAGAUGCUGCCUCAGCGUUCCGUUAGGACUGUGAGAAGUCAGGUCACUCUGCUGAUGCAGGGAGCUGAAAUACAGCAUCGAACUUAAAACGUGGAUUCUAUCGUAUACAUGGGAUUGCUCAAGCCAAGGUACGGUGGAGGGGGGACGUGGCCGAGGUCUUCUGAGACACAUGGAAGAGCCCUCAGGUGAAUUGUGCUGUGGAAGUGCAGCACAACCACAGGAGCACCAGCCGAACGCUUGUGAGUCCCUGCUGAUUUGUUUGCAAUAAACGUGACUGCUCUGAAGCUGUCUGGCACCAUCACGUUAUCUUCCUCAAUGCCAUAACCGAUGAGGUCCUCAUUUUUAAGGCAGAACGAUGCAACUUUCGAUAUAUUCAACGCCAGCCCCCUGCCCCCAGGCUGUCUUUGCAGUCAACAGGCAUGUAAAAUAUUCAGAGUAAAAAAAGAAAUCAUCAUGUGUGACUAGAAAGUGCUGAAGCACAGCGUGCGGCACUGCCGGCUCAUGCAACAGCUCCGUGUGCACAGCCACGCUCACAGGGCUCAGCCUCCCCCUGUUCCUGGAUUCUGAUGAGAACCCAAAGAGAAGGAGGCAAACAGAUCACGCUCCAUGCACCUACACACAAGAAGAAAAUGCUACUCAGCUUGCAUGGAAACACUACAGAGCGCUUCUCUGCAUGUUUUUCAGGCAGUAAAUCUGUGAGCAACUUUUUGAAGCCUGGACGGAACUGAAUCAUGUGAAAAUCAGGUACUUUUCUAUUAAAGUAGCCAGCAAUGUAAGUAUGCCAUAUACCCCCACAUUUCUUGCAAGUGCUUUCCCUAGGGACACUAUUUGACAUUUUUUUGUAUAUAUUUCACUGAUAUAUGCAAUGAAGAGCUGGACCACUUCAGUUUUCUUAAUCAAGCAAUCAAGCUGUGGUCAAUAAAAUACAUUCCUGAAGAGCAACAAUUAGCACAUAGUUUAAGAAGGCUAAUGGGGACCCAUCCCUAGCAGCCAGGGACUAGCAACCUAGUCAGCAACUGAAGAAUGCCCACUGGGAGGCCAGCAGUGACAGCAGCCAGGUGAGCCUAAGGAGCAGAUGGAAUCAGCACAAUUAGUCUUCCUGAAAUGCUAGUUUUAGCGUUUGUGAAUGAAACUUACCAGAUCUCCUAGUACAAAGUAGUGCUCGUGUAAAGCCUAUCUUUUUACGCUGUUUCCAGCAGAGAGCUGUGAGUAUUGAACUAGCCAUUCAUACAUCUUAGUGCAGUCUCAACUUCUGUGGAGUCAUUUUUGCUCUCCCGGAUGAGGAUUGGCCUUCUGCACAUCAGCCUGGAAGUACUCUCUCAUUUCAAGGGCUGCUGCCUCUGACAGCCCCGUCUGGCCUAGGACCGCGCUCCAAAAUAAUGAUGCUGUACUAACAGACAGGUUUCUCUGCUUUGCCUUAAACUGCUGACCCAUUCCCACCGUGCCCACUAAGCCAUAUCCGUUAGUACCACAUCUAAAUGUUUCUUGAACACCUCCAGGGACACUACCACUUCCCUGGGCAGCCCAUGCCAAUGCCUCACCACUCUUUCUGAGAAGAAAUGUUUCCUAAUAUCCAACCUGAACCUCCCGUUACAGUUUCAUCUGAGGAAGCUCUCUGGUAUCCCAGAUAUCUAUACAGACACUGUGCUUAGCCACCUGAUCCACAAAACUGAGGACUGCUUAACACCUGUGAAAUUUCACAGCAUGACAGCAGAGCUGAGGCUGGAAGGCACAUCUGGAGCUCCACUGGUCCAGCCCCCUGUUCAGAGCAUGGGCAGUGAGAGCACAUUGCCCAGGGCUGUGUCCACAUGGGCUUGGGGUUUCAUCAAGGUUGGAGACUCCACAGCCUUACGGGGCAACCUGUUCCAAUGUUCAGCCACCCGCAUGGGGAAAAAUGCUUUUCGUAUGUUGAAUGAAAUGUUCUGUGUUUCUGUUUGUGCCUAUUGAAUAGCACCGAGAAAAGUCCAGCUUCAUCUUCUUUACCCCUCCUAUCAGACUUUCAUACACUUCAGUAAAGCGUCCUGUGCCCUCCUCAAGCCUCCCCUUCUCAAGGUUAAGCAGCCCUAGCUCAGUCUUCCCACUCCUUACCUCCGUGGCUGAACACAUGCCUCCUCCCUGGCUUGCUGCUUGGAAAAAACACUUCAUAUACAUACAGAUAAUAGGAAGAGCAAAGCCAAGAAAACUCAUGGGUAAAGACAAAGGCAGUUUAGUAAGUGAAGGAAAAAAAAAAAACGAUGGAAGGCAAUCACUCACCACGUCCCAAGUCCCACUGACAGCCUGAUGCCCAGGCAGCCUCUCAGUGACAGCAAGCUCAGAAGCCAGCCCCUGUCCUCACGCCCCAGGCUUUAUUGCUGAGCAUGACGUUAGAAGGUAUGGGACAUACCUUUGGUCUGUCUGGGUCAGCUGUCCUGGCUGCAUCCCCUCCCAGCUCCUUGCCUACUCAGCCUGCUUGCUGAGGUAGGAGUGGGGCAGAGAGCACUGCUGAGCUGCAGCCAAAACAGUGGUGUGUUAUCAGCACUGCCCUAUCCAUAGCCCCACAGAGGCUGCUAUGAAGGACAUUAACUCCAUCCCAGCCAGCCUCAGUGCACCUGCAGGAUAACAUCCUUGGAGUAAGAGAUUUCCCCCUUUGAAGUUCCCCUGCUAUGGUUAUGGCAACCAGUCUCAGCAGUGCUACUGUGUGCUAUCUGCUUCCCUAGCACCUUCUUAGUGUCUAAAAGAAGAGAAAGUAGCACAUUAAACCAUGAAAAAGAAAAUGGAGGAAAAAAACCAGAAGCUGACAAAAGUUGGUAUAUAACUAAAGAGUUAAAUGUAAGAACCUAGACAAAAAGACAAAAAUAUGUACUUCACUGAAAGUAAGAAUGUUAACUUAGAGACAAUGACAUUGCAAAUACUAUUAGUAUGUUGCUACUGGAUGUAAAAAAAUAGAAUUGCCUAAAAGAAUGUACGGAAGCAGAAUUAUUCAAUCAAUAUUUCUAUUGUAUAUUUAGUAAACAGAAGCUGUGCUUUCAUAUUAUAUUACAUUGAAAUACUUUCCUUUCAAUCAAUAAUGUAAAAGGACAAUAAAGAUCAGCAGAAUAUACUAAACAGUUAUUUUUUAAACGGAAGGUCAAGGAGUUUUUAGAAAAAUAAAUGAAAGUGGAGUUAGGCAGCAAUGUUAAUAAUUCAAAUCAGUUCCUAACAAUUUCUGAAACGCUAAGGAAAUUUCAGAGAAAUAGAAGAAAGUUAAUACUGUAACAAUAUUUGAAGGGUAAAUAGGAUGACCUACUUAAUUACAGGCUCAUCGAGCUGACAGCAAGCAUGGGCAAAAUUGUGGGAAAGGCAGGUUCAGGACUCAAUUACAGUAAGGAAUGACAGGGAGAAGAACCGGAAUUGCCAAAUACCAGGCAGUGGGGCAGGCUGUGCAGCCGUGCAGUCCCUGCCUGCACCGCGUGAGUCAGAAUACUUCCCAGAUUUUGGCCUAACCAGUGCCUCUAUUUUUGCACUAACAGCCGCCAAUAAAAUGAGCUGGCAGAAAAUACACUUUGAAAAACUGUUCUGAUGUCACUUCAGAGAUGCCACAUUUUAUUUUAAGUACCUAUGUAGAAAUACACUUGAAAUCUUAUGCUAUCGGAUCCCCAUUGACAUUCCAAUGAAAGAGCUAGAUUGACACAAAAUCAACACUAUACGCAAUGCACAGGUGUACCAAUAGGCUUUCAUUCAUGCUACAUAUUUAUGAGUCUAUUCAAUCUUUUAAUCAGUGAAACAAGAGAGAGAUUACAAAACACCAAAGAUGAGGGAAACUAAAACUAAUGGCAGAGAGACACCUUUUGAUGGUAAAACUCUCGGCUCUUCCAUUUGUUGGGUACCAUCUAAAAUAUUUCAAAACAAAUGUAACUGAGAAUAGGAACAAAUUAUACAUGCUGUUUUUAUGAGACAAGAAAAGGGGAAAAAAAUAGAUAUGGAUUUUAACAAAUAUAAAUGAUGCUCUGGCUAAAAAAGGUAGGGCACUUUUGGAAUGUGAGACACUAAUAUGUAGUUUUUGAUCCUUGCCAAGACCCUUUUACUUUACAAAGAUGAAGUUAAGGAAUGAUUUCAUCAUUGUUGAUAGAUUAAGUCAUAAAAACAAAAUGUGAGUAGUAUGUGAUACAUAGAUAUAAUUUUGCAAUACUGAUGGAACUUGGACAACAAGAUGUAGAAGUGUGUGACCUUUUACAUGUGGUGAAGCAGAACUCCAGUCCUGCCGUCACGUGAUAGAAGACUUAACAAGGGUAAAGCAGAAGCUGUACUGGAAGUUUUGAAGGUGAUAGUCAGAUAACGAACAAAACUUACCAUUAGCUAAAGUACUUCUGUUCAUCCAGACCAAAUUUACUCUUAGUAAGCAGAAUUCUACUUUAAAUAAUCAUACUGAUUUAAAAUAGAUAAGCAACACAUACCUAGCCUAGAUAAAAUCACUGAAGAAGUAGCUAGUGAGGUGAACUUACAUCACUAAUUAAAUACCGUUUGCAUCCACUGGCCAUACAGAUACUUUCAGCAAGGUGUGACUUCUGUAUUAAGCAAAGAAAAUAAUCAUCAGUGUUCAGCUAUGUUAAUAGUUACAUAUACAGAGUUAGAGAAAACCAAAAUAAGGAAAAAGCUCAAUCUGAGUUCAGACUUCCAUGAAUACUGCUUAACCACAAUGUACAAGCCUAUUGUAAUGGUAGAAGAAGGUGUCAGAAAGGUAGGAUUCAAGGAGGAAAAGCUCAGAAAAACAGGAACUUGUAACAGAGAGGAAGUUAUCUAAUACAAUACAAGAAGCCUCAGCACUGAUCUGAGGUGAGGGAACAAAAACACAGCUGGAGCAGAGAACACCAAUGAAGCACUGGCUAUUGUGGCUGGGAGUUCUGACAGAGCUUCUAGCAAACCUGACACUGCAGCAAUAUGACACAGAGGCAGCUAUAUCCCAACCAAGCAGAUAGAUACAGGUGUUUCAGGACCAUAGGAUCAUAGAGUAUCGUGAGUUGGAAGGAACUCUACAAGGAUCAUUGAAUCCAACACCCAGCUCCACACAGAAACACCCAAAAUUCAAACCUUAUGCAUGAGGCCACUGUCCAAAAACUUCUUGACUUCUGGCAGCUUGAGGCCACGACCACUGACCUGGGAGCCUGUUCCAGGGCCCAACUACCCCCUCAGCAAAUAAUCUUUUCCUAAUUCCCACCCUGCCCCUCCCCUGACACAGCUCCAUGCCGUUCCCUCGGGCCCUGUCGCUGUCACGCAGAGCAGAGCACAGCACUGCCCCUCCACACCCUGUGAGGAGCUGCAGCCGCCAUGAGGGCUCCCCUCAGCUCCUCUGCUCUGGGCUUAGCAAACCCAGGGACCUCAGCACUCCUCGUAUGCCUUGCCCUCUAAACCCUUCACCAUCUUUGUAGCCCUCCUUUUGACUUCUCCAGGCAGUGAAUCAAACCCUAGGAAUACUGAGUUCUGUUUGCUAAUGACUUCUGUGAUUGUCGAAAUGGCAUCACUUAGUGAGUCAUAAUAAUUUCACAGAAAAUAAUCAAAUACACCAACAUUAAACAUGAGAUAGCUAAUCAUAGUCUGAAGAUAGUUAAUAAGUGAAUCACAUAUACCCUGCUAUGCCUAGAGAGGGGUUUCUUUGGUGACAGAUCUUCAGCUCUGAAUAAGCAAUGAGAAGGCCAAGCUUUGUGACCCUUCUUUAAAAGUUAUUCUCAUCGUAUAUAGGGAUAUGCCGUAUCUCUUAUGCAAAUAGAUUCUUUUUCAAUAGCCAAAGAGUAUCCUGUGACAAAUGGUUGCUAUUUUGAGCUCACACUAAUGCACUGUGAAAAAAACAUAGUUAUGCCAAAAAAAAAAAAAAACUUACAAUGAGAAAUGUAAUAAUUUAUUUAACAGUUGGAAACCCAUUGAAAAUGAACAGACACUUGAGUGAGUGCCCAAGAGAACAAGAAAGAAUGGACAGCACAGUCAAAAUGUCUUUUGUUUGUUUAGUGAAUAUCCUUUCAUCUAUAAGACCAGCAAUGAGUGCACUCUAGAAUCCUUUGGAGCUAAAGUGAACUACUGGAGACCUUCCAUUUAUGCUGCAACGCAGCCUACACCUGGUUUGAAUGUCUACAGAAGGGUUUUUUCUGCUUCAGUACUAACAGAGCAGGUUUCAGUGCUAGAAGUGAACUAUGCUACUCUCCAGGUUUCAUUGCAGGUCUUUCUCCUGUCCUUCCUCUGCAUUUCUAUCUACUUAGCACAGAAUAAGGAUCUAUGGUGCAAAUUUUUUCUCACAUUUCUCAGAAUGCUUUCUACAAACAAGUGGCAAUAAGAUCCCUAAUUGGCUUCAUGGAGUCCUUUUGGGAUAAAACCUCCUCUUAAUGGACAUUUUCACACUAAUUUUUUUCAUAAUAAUUUAGAGAUAGAAACAGGGUGUCACUUGUGAGUGAGCUGGGAGAAAGACCUGUCUGAAUGAGUUCCUCUCCCACAGUGGGGCCCCAUGGGUUGGAAGCAUCUUUUGUCCCAGGUCCUCCUGUUCUUUCACCUCAGUUUUGAAAUACCUCAGAGUCAUAGCUGUUAUCACGAUGCCAACAUCAAAAAGUAGAUUUAUCUAACAGCUAUUUGAACCUUUUUUUAAUUCCUAAAGAAAACUGCAUAAACUAUAAAACAGCAAAGAGAAGCAUACUAAGAGCUAGCAAAAGGCAAUGUGAGAUUAGAUCUUAUAUGUCCACAGCUAUAUAAGCCGUGAAGAAUCAGGCAGAAACAUGACACGUCAGGAACAAUAGAUAAAGUGGCAGAGAAAAUAUACAGCAAAAGACUGAAAUUUUCAAAUAUUUAUACCCCCCAGCUACAAGGUGAACAGGCUAAGCAGGGUACAGAUACUGCUGGACUCUCUUAAGAGAGGAAGUGACUUAAGAACAUUGUGUCUUCAACACAGAGUGCAAACAAUGCCUUGGCCAGAGUUGUUUUUGCUUCAUUUGAUAUCAGUCUGUACUAACUGUACCUCAUCAUGAGAGGAAACAGCAUCUCUAUAGCAAUGGAAAACAAGAUAAGUACUUGCACAUAAUCAGCAUAGUGCUGGUGUGUCAGUAUUUCAGUGUCUCAGUGCACUCAUCUCACACAAGUAGUAGAAGGAAACAGAAAUAAAUACAGACAGAAUGAUGCCCAGUAUCUCUCUUUUGAGUUCACUGGGAAAAUGAUGGGAUCCACACUACCACUGCACCAGGGUAUCGUCAUAGAUCAUAUGCUACAAAGAGAUCUCUACUAUUUCUCUACUAGUAAAGUCUUGUCUGUACUGAAUUCGUUGAUAGGUUUCUUAUUGAUUUCAGUAGAAUCAUGAUGUCCUCCACAUAACAGUUGAAAAAAUAAAAGUAUUUUCUCAUUUUUGCGCCAUGCUUUUUUACCUAAUCACAGUUACCAUUUUUGAAUGUUCCUAAAGGCAGGAAUAUUUGAGUGAGAAAAUCUCACAGACAAUACCUACUUUCCAGAUUACUCCAAACUACAUAGCUGCUCAUCAGUUCAUGCAAAUUUUGAAUACUGCUCUAUGCUGAGAAAUGACUACUGACCAGACAAGCCACCCCCUUGCAGGAGGGAAGGAAAAAAACAAGAACCAUCAAGAUCAUCAGUGAUACCAUUUAAUGCACUUCUGGAAUGCGUUCAGAUAACACACCACGAAGGCAGAACACAGUGUGGCCAGGAGCGUGACUGGGCCACAAAUAAUUCUGUACAAUGAUCUUGCAGUGAUAUUAACAUUCUAGUUAGUCACUGCUAUUAGGGUAAACAUACUAAAAAAUGAACCACAUGAAGAAUUUCAUAACCUCAAAAUUCCAGAGACCAUGAGACACUUCGGUGUUCAUACUGCCCAUUAUGCUCUGAAUGUACAGAGAGUGUAGAAUAUGGGCUAGAUAGAAAAGGACAAAGAUACCAGCAAACAAUAUUCAGAAUCAACUCUUUAAUAAUUUAACUGUAUACUUCAGAGAGCAAAACGAUGUAAGCAACAUGGGAAUUCCCACCAACUGUGCUUUGUUUAGUUUAUUUCACUAAGCAUUUGUUUUUUUUUGGUGUCAAAGCAUAUAAAAACAUUAAAAGAAUCAGUUGCCUACAACUUUUAGGAUAGCAUCCAUGACAGUGGGCAGGAACCUCCCAGUACCUCAUCUUUCUUAUCGACUAUAUUGUAAUUCGGCUGAAGCAGUUGUGUAUCUGCCACAUUCCAGGUCACCUAUAGACAAGACCUACUGCGUCAACUGAUUGAGCAGCCAGGAAGAAAAGCCCUUUCCAUUAUGAAUGUUAUGACACAAGAGUUAGAUGGUUUAUUUCCUCAUUUAUCAGAAAUAGAAUCAAAUAUAAGAGCAUAAAGAAAUGAAGAGAUGCAUUCACAGUGCUAUAAAAACUUACUGAAAUACAUAAAUCUGGCUGUAGAAGGGGCAUUAUUUCUCUGUUAGCUACCCAUGUGUAUAUGGGAAUGGAGACUACUGGAAACAAGCAGAGUUGAAUAAAUGAUUUUUUCACAUAGCUCUGAAGUUUGUAUUCAUUCUUAUUCAAUAUAGAAGAAAGUUCAUCUUGAUGAUGGAAUCAUUCUCUAAUAAUUAUUCUCUUGAAAAUGUGUUUAUUUUUGAAGAGCAUGGGGGGGUUAUUUUAUAUUUUUUUGGUCAAACGUAAAACUCUGUAAUAUUGAGAUUUUUAAAAAGUACUUCAGACUUCCAAUUUGCCUUCUCAAAAAGCUCCUAUGAAAUGCCAA